rnacentral:lncRNA from 1 species
AUUUCUUUCAGACCCUCGGUUACAAACCUUCAUGGAAGGAGCAGGAUAUCUACCAUUGUUGAAGACCUACCAUGUGGGAGGGAACACAGUAAAGGCUCACGCUGUGGAAACUGUAGACCCAGUGUCGAUCCAGUGCAGGACGGACAGAAUAGCUGGGUGCCCUCGGAACCACUCAAUGAGGCCACACAGCAAGGCAUUAUGUUUCCCUUCCCUUUGACUCCUUCUCGGUCCCCUACCUGCUUCAUAGCUACCUAAAUUCCAUUACAUGCCAUCUGGCUAUUUGCCACCGCCGCUUUAGUCAUUAAACAGAAGGGAAAGAGCACCCUUGGCUGCACAAUGAAGUUAUCCAUUUCCUCAGUUCAGCACACAGGCAGGCUUUUCUUCCUUCUGAAUACCUAGUUUUAUCUGUGACUAAGAGGUCUGAAAUUUUACUACUCAACCCACUAACUUUUGCAUUGCAUCAAAGGGAAGGUCAGUAAUCUUCUUGACAGAAGAUUUAAAACAUAAGGAGCUUAGCAUUCGGGUCUAGGAACUUAACCCUGGUGCCCUCCCAGUGCGCUGCUAAUGGAGCUCGAUUUCAGUUUCCAGCUGGCUUUUCAAAAAAGCUGAUGAGGCCAGAACGGCUCCUCCACUCUCCCCCUCCCACCCCACCCCGCUGUGACUAGGCCUUUUACACACCUCCAAACAAGACAAACGAGCAAGCUCUUCCUGGUGAAAUGCAGGACUGCAGCAGGCAUCCCAGCUCAGUUUUGUGAACUCUUGAAUCAGAGUAAUUUCCAAAUACAUCACUGUCAGUACACACUUUGAGCCUGCCAUCAAGGAGCCCAGAAAUUGGAUUGCCACCUUAUUCCUUUCUAAAGGUGAAACAAGCCCUUUAAAAAAAAUGAGUAUAUUUUAUUAUAUUGUUUCACAUGAAUAAAUGAAUUAUAUGUAAGCAUUUUUCACACUUUAAAGAACAUAAUGUUUCUGUUUCUAAAAUGUACAUGCAUACAUUUGUUUAAAAAUAGCUGCCUUCAUUAUCAUAAUGAUUUUUUCCUCCUGUGUUCAAGAGCUCAGGGAAUUAGUGGUAAAUGUAAAUGUAAUCAAGGGCACCACCAUGCUUUUAAUUUGGCAAAUAAAAACCAUUUAUAUCUCCCAUCAUUGUGGCAGGAUGAGUCAGUUCUAUUACCAAAAGAAGCUUAGAAGUAAUGUGAUUUCCAUCUGACUUUUUUUUUCAUGUUUAUGUCUUGGCUGACUAAAAAUCUUGCUCUUAAUUUCACAUGUUGGAGUAUAGUUAUGAGGAAAUGAAAUAUUAUUGGUACUAACUUUCUGGGAGACAGUCUGGCAAAAUACAUCAAAAACAUAAAAAUGUGACUAUCCUUUGACCCAGAAACCCCACUUCUUUAAAUUUACCCUAAUACAGUGGUACUCAUGGGAAAAGAUGCAUGUUCACUGUGUGGCUCUUUACAAAGCACAAAAAAAAAAAAAAAAGAAAAUAUCUUAAACAUCUAAUAAAAGGCAACUCGUUGAAUAUAUUAUGGUAUGCAAAUAAAAUUUAAAACUACUAUUUAGGGUGGUGUGUGGAGACACAGGAGGAGAAAAAUUAAAAAAUAAAAAACAAGACAACUAUUUAUAAUAAUUGUGUGACUAGGAUAUUUGAAAUAUUGUUAAAUAUGAGUAUAUAGAAUUUAUAAAAAAAAUUAUUCAUUCAACAAAGAUUCAUCCAAUACUAAGUGACAAAUAUUACUCUAUAGCAGAGGUCAGAAAAUGUUUUCCGGCCAGGUGCAGUGGCUCACGCCUGUAAUCCCAGCACUUUGGGAGGCCAAGGCAGGCUUGAGGGCCUCAGGAUUACCUGAGGUCAGGAGUUCAAGACCAGCCUGGCCAACAUGGUGAAACCCUGUCUCCACUAAAAAUACAAAAAUUAGCCAGGCGUGGUGGCAUGUGCCUGUAAUCCCAGCUACUUGGGAGGCUGAGGCAGAAGAAUCACUUGAACCCGGGAGGUGGAGGUUGUAGUGAGCUGAGAUCACGCCACUGCCCUCCAGCCUGGGUGACAGAAUGAGGCCCUAUCUCAGAAAAAAAAAAACAAAAACAAAAACAAAAAAAAAACAGAAAAUAAUGUUUUCCAUGGAAGUCCACAUAGUAAAUACUUUAGGCUUUGUAGGCCACAAGGCCCCUAUGCAGCUGCUCAACCCUGCCACUGUCAUAUGAAAACAGCCAUUGGUGAUGUGUAAAUAAAUGGGUGCACCUAUGUUCCAACAAAGCUUUACUCACAAAAUCUAGGCUGCUGGAUGCAUUCAGCUCCUGGUGGUUAAUUUGCUGACCUCUGUUCUGGACAAGUGAAAUAUACAAGUGAAACAAAACAUGCAAAAAGCUCUGACUCGAUGGAUCUUACAUUCUAUAGCUAUCUAUGUAUCUGUGUGCAUAUACGAAUAAUAUGACUAAAUGGAUGUUCACUGAUCAUUGAUUAAGCAAAUCUCUGGAGAUUGUGCCAGACACUAUGCUGUAAUUGGUUAGUGAUUCAGUGGUUAAACAAAAGAGACUUGGUCCCUGCCCUCAGAAAGCUCAUGAUAUGAUAAAGAAAACAGACAAGAAAGUAAAUAAAAAGAAUAAAGUUUGUUAAAAUUGAUAAGAAAUAGAAUUAUUAACAUGGUUAUCUCUGGAUACUGAAAUAUUUAAUGAGUGCAUCUUUAUUCUUUUUUACUGUAUCUAUUGUUUGAUGUUUUUAUAAUAAGUAUGUAUUACCAUUUGAAACAAUGACAUUAGUCUCAAAAAGUUGUCAGCAAUGAAAAGGAUAAAAGCUUAAUUUGUAUUUUCUUUUGAACAAGUAAUCCUGAUGAAUAUAGAACAGUA